rnacentral:rRNA from 1 species
UACAGACGGUCCAAACGUUAUUCGGAAUCACUGGGCUUAAAGAGUUCGUAGGCGGUCAGGAAAGUGGGGUGUGAAAGCCCUCGGCUUAACCGAGGAAUUGCGCUCCAAACUCCCUGACUUGAGGAGGCUAGAGGUAAGCGGAACUGAUGGUGGAGCGGUGAAAUGCGUUGAUAUCAUCAGGAACACCGGAGGCGAAGGCGGCUUACUGGGGCCUUUCUGACGCUGAGGAACGAAAGCUAGGGGAGCGAACGGGAGU